UACGGAGGGUGCAAGCGUUAUCCGGAUUCACUGGGUUUAAAGGGUGCGUAGGCGGACACUUAAGUCCGUGGUGAAAUCUCUGGGCUUAACCCAGAAACUGCCAUGGAUACUAUUUGUCUUGAAUGUUGUGGAGGUUAGCGGAAUAUGUCAUGUAGCGGUGAAAUGCAUAGAUAUGACAUAGAACACCGAUUGCGAAGGCAGCUGGCUACACAAAUAUUGACGCUGAGGCACGAAAGCGUGGGGAGCAAACAGG
rnacentral:rRNA from 1 species